UUGAAGAUGAAGAAAAAAGUGCAAGAAGGCGUUUCUCUCAACAAUAUAUUUCUUUUUCCACGGGUCGUAUCAGAAAUGAGUUGAGAGCAAUUGUCUAACUGCGAUGAGCCAGUCUUCAGAGGAUUUUAUUCGAAGUUUGGAAUAAAAGGCGUCAUUGGUGCAAUUGACUGCACACACAUUGGCAUUAUAGCACCUACAAGCAACGACCCUACAAAUCCAGCAAGCCUGUAUAUGAACCGGAAGGGUAAUUACAGCGUCAAUGUAGAGGCAGUGUGUGACGCAAGCAUGAAUUUUUUGUCAAUAAACGCCAACUUUCCUGGGUCUUGUCAUGACUCGGGGAUAUGGACGACAUCCAUGAUUAGAAGCUUCUUAAUGGAUCAACAUGGGUGUUGGCUCAUAUGCGACCAAGGCUAUCCUCUGGAAUCUUGGCUAUUAACCCCAGUUUCAGAACCAACAAGCGCGCUUGAGGAAAAUUACAAUAGAGUACACUGUGCAGCACGCAAUGGAAUUGAACGUACGUUUUGCGUAUUGAAAUCAAGAUUUCGAUGUCUCUCAAAGCACCGCAUUUUAAACUAUAGUCACAAAACAGUAGUAUCUAUCGGCAAUUCAUGUGCAAUACUCCAUUAUAUAAUCAAUAAAUAUAAUAUAUGCUAUACCAACAUAGAGCAAAUGGAACUGGAGGAGAAUGAAAUUGAUGAAAAUAUUCAAACUGUGCGAGCCAAAACUAUCCAGAACGAACUCUUUCAAGAAACCGAACGGAUUCGUGCACAUUUGACGCGUAUAAUUUAGUUUUCACAGUUUUUAAUUAAUU